rnacentral:rRNA from 1 species
GACGAACGCUGGCGGCGUGCUUAACACAUGCAAGUCGAACGGAAAGGCCCUGCUUUUGUGGGGUGCUCGAGUGGCGAACGGGUGAGUAACACGUGAGUAACCUGCCCUUGACUUUGGGAUAACUUCAGGAAACUGGGGCUAAUACCGGAUAGGAGCUCCUGCUGCAUGGUGGGGGUUGGAAAGUUUCGGCGGUUGGGGAUGGACGCGCGGCCUAUCAGCUUGUUGGUGGGGUAGUGGCUUACCAAGGCUUUGACGGGUAGCCGGCCUGAGAGGGUGACCGGCCACAUUGGGACUGAGAUACGGCCCAGACUCCUACGGGAGGCAGCAGUGGGGAAUAUUGCACAAUGGACGGAAGCCUGAUGCAGCAACGCCGCGUGCGGGAUGACGGCCUUCGGGUUGUAAACCGCUUUCGCCUGUGACGAAGCGUGAGUGACGGUAAUGGGUAAAGAAGCACCGGCUAACUACGUG